rnacentral:rRNA from 1 species
AACGAACGCUGGCGGCGUGCCUAACACAUGCAAGUCGAACGGAAUUGAGGGGCUUGCUCUUCAAUUUAGUGGCGCACGGGUGAGUAACGCGUGGAUAAUCUGCCUGACGAUCUGGGAUAACAUCUCGAAAGGGGUGCUAAUACCGGAUAAGCCCACGGGAACUUCGGUUUUUGCGGGAAAAGGGGGGGACCUUUUGGCCUUCUGUCGUCAGAUGAGUCCGCGUACCAUUAGCUAGUUGGUAGGGUAAAGGCCUACCAAGGCUACGAUGGUUAGCUGGUUUGGGAGAAUAUUCAGCCACACUGGAACUGAGACACGGUCCAGACUCCUACGGGAGGCAGCAGUGGGGAAUUUUGCGCAAUGGGCGAAAGCCUGACGCAGCAACGCCGCGUGAGUGAUGAAGGCUUUCGGGUCGUAAAGCUCUGUCAGAGGGAAAGAAGCGUAUUGUGGCUAAUAUCCGCGAUACUUGACGGUACCCUCAAAGGAAGCACCGGCUAACUCCGUGCCAGCCGCCGCGGUAAUAC